GGGGCAGCGAAGCAGGACUCGGCAUCGCGGGAGCCCUGGGCUGAAGAUGCGGGAGGCCUGCGGGGGAGAAGCGAGGGAGGCGCUUGGGGCUCGGGACUUACACCCAAGACGCACCCUGCCCCUGACUGACUUCGGAAAGGGAAGCCUCUCCAGCUAGUGAAACAUCUGAGGAGAUUUGUUAUGAGGUUGGACAAUAUGAAGAAAGGAAAGGCAUUCAAAUCCCCUAUUGUAUGGACACUGUGGGCGUACGGUCUCAUCCUCACUAGGCUCCUAGCAGAGUCCUUUUGGAGCUAUUCGAAGUGGCCGUUGAAGCCAGCCUAUGCAUUCCCCAGUGCACAGAGCCCAGCUCGGGUGACAGGCGUGGAUCAGCACUGAACAAGGUUGUGCAGCUCCAGAAGCCUCAAGUGAGCAAGCACAAGCCACCAGAGCCAUGGUGACACUGCUAGAGGCUCAUGACUUCAGAGAGCGAGCACUGAGUAAAAAUGUUCACCCGCCAUGGCACAAACCCCAAACCAGGCUGAGGAUGGCGCGAGGAUGGAAAAUAAAGGGACACAUCUGACAGCUGCAUCUAGUGCUGUUCUCAAGCUCUUCUCAGCAGUUCUUUAUCCUUCAAAUUCCUCUCCUAGAGAGGAUCUCAAAGGGUUACGACAGUGAGUGCUUUUCAAGUACUCCAUGUAUAUUAAAUUGUGUAAGCUUUAAG
rnacentral:lncRNA from 1 species